CCUACGGUGUGCAGCAGUGGGGAAUAUUGCACAAUGGGGGGAACCCUGAUGCAGCGACGCCGCGUGGGUGAAGGAGUGCUUCGGCAUGUAAAGCCCUAUCGGCAGGGAAGAAGCAAGACGGUACCUGACUAAUAAGCCCCGGCUAACUACGUGCCAGCAGCAGCGGUAAUACGUAGGGGGCUAGCGUUAUCCGGAUUCACUGGGGGUAAAGGGAGCGUAGACGGCCAUGCAAGCCAGGUGUGAAAGGCUGGGGCUCAACCCCCGGACUGCACUUGAACCUGUACGGCUGGAGUGCAGGAGAGGGAAGUGGAAUUCCUAGUGUAGCGGUGAAAUGCGUAGAGAUGAGGAGGAACACCAGUGGCGAAGGCGGCUUACUGGACUGUAACUGACGUUGAGGCUCGAAAGCGUGGGGAGCAAACAGGAUUAGAUACCCCUGUAGUC
rnacentral:rRNA from 1 species